AGGAAUAUUGGUCAAUGGACGAGAGUCUGAACCAGCCAAGUAGCGUGAAGGAUGACUGCCCUAUGGGUUGUAAACUUCUUUUAUACGGGAAUAAAGUUAGCCACGUGUGGCUUUUUGUAUGUACCGUAUGAAUAAGGAUCGGCUAACUCCGUGCCAGCAGCCGCGGUAAUACGGAGGAUCCGAGCGUUAUCCGGAUUUAUUGGGUUUAAAGGGAGCGUAGGCGGGUUGUUAAGUCAGUUGUGAAAGUUUGCGGCUCAACCGUAAAAUUGCAGUUGAUACUGGCGACCUUGAGUGCAACAGAGGUAGGCGGAAUUCGUGGUGUAGCGGUGAAAUGCUUAGAUAUCACGAAGAACUCCGAUUGCGAAGGCAGCUUACUGGAUUGUAACUGACGCUGAUGCUCGAAAGUGUGGGUAUCAAACAGGAUUAGAUACCCUGGUAGUCCACACAGUAAACGAUGAAUACUCGCUGUUGGCGAUAUACGGUCAGCGGCCAAGCGAAAGCAUUAAGUAUUCCACCUGGGGAGUACGCCGGCAACGGUGAAACUCAAAGGAAUUGACGGGGGCCCGCACAAGCGGAGGAACAUGUGGUUUAAUUCGAUGAUACGCGAGGAACCUUACCCGGGCUUAAAUUGCAUUUGAAUAAUCAAGAAAUUGGUUAGUCGUAAGACAAAUGUGAAGGUGCUGCAUGGUUGUCGUCAGCUCGUGCCGUGAGGUGUCGGCUUAAGUGCCAUAACGAGCGCAACCCUUAUCUUCAGUUACUAACAGGUCAUGCUGAGGACUCUGGAGAGACUGCCGUCGUAAGAUGUGAGGAAGGUGGGGAUGACGUCAAAUCAGCACGGCCCUUACGUCCGGGGCUACACACGUGUUACAAUGGGGGGUACAGAAGGCCGCUACCUGGUGACAGGAUGCUAAUCCCAAAAGCCUCUCUCAGUUCGGAUCGAAGUCUGCAACCCGACUUCGUGAAGCUGGAUUCGCUAGUAAUCGCGCAUCAGCCAUGGCGCGGUGAAUACGUUCCCG
rnacentral:rRNA from 1 species